rnacentral:rRNA from 1 species
GAUGAACGCUGGCGGCGUGCCUAAUACAUGCAAGUCGAGCGAACAGACGCUGCGCUUGCUCCUCUGACGUUAGCGGCGGACGGGUGAGUAACACGUGGAUAACCUACUUAUAAGACGGGUAUAACUUCGGGAAACCGGAUCUAAUACCGGAGAAUAUAUUGAACCGCAUGGUUCAAUAGUGAAAGACGGUUUUGCUGUCAGUUAUCGAUGGAUCCGCGCCGCAUUAGCUAGUUGGUAAGGUAACGGGCUACCAAGGCAACGAUGCGUAGACGAAGUGAGGGGGGGAUCGCCCACAUGGGAGCGGGGACGCGGUCCAGACUCCUACGGGAGGCAGCAGUAGGGAAUCUUCCGCAGUGGGCGAAAGCAUGGCAGAGCAACGCGGCGUGUGUGGUGGAGGUCUUGGGAUCGUAAAACUCUGUUAUUAGGGAAGAACAAAUGUGUAAGUAACUAUGCACGGCUUGACGGUAACGAGUCAGAAAGCCACGGCUAACUACGUG